rnacentral:lncRNA from 1 species
UCAUAUCUUAUUUAGUGCAAUGAUCCUAUUCUAUUGUUUGGUUUCACUGAAUGAGUGAAAUGGUCGGGUAGUAUAACAGUCUCAUUCUAGCCUCUCACAGAAUAGCCAUUAUGUGCUAUCACCAAAGAGUAGCCAUUCCAGCCUUUCACCGAAUAGCCACCAACUAUUUUUUUCCAAAAAUACCCCAAACCAAAAAUAUCAUAUUAACCACAAUUUCAGUCGAUGGAUUAUAGCCAUGGAAGAAAAAUCAAGAAGAAACAAAAAUUGAAACCCAAUCGUUAAACAAACUUCGAUUCAAUGCUUUCCCAACUUCGAUUUCAUCCAACAAUGUUGUUUUCAUAGCAUCAACACUAGGUCUCCUCCACUCCGCCAUGUUCCAAGCCAAAUGGUAGAGAUUUUAGCUCUAAUGCUCAAAACAUAGAAAUUCCUUGGUAUCCCAAAUUUUCGUUUCCUUUUCCUUGAUUUUCUCACCCACCAAACAAGAAAAAUGGGCAAGCUUUUCAAUUAUAAAUUCACUUCUUUUUUGGUAUUUGAAUUACCGGAAACUCUCUCAAACCCAAAAUCUCAGUUUUGCACUAGAAAAUGCAAAUUAAACUUACAACCCAAUAAUGAAAUUUAGAAAACAAAACAAAACAACCCAAAUCAGAAAGAAAAAAAACAAAAAAAAAAAACUAUGACAGAUGGUGGGAGAUUAACAGAGAGAAGACUUCCAUGUAUAGAUCUAUAGGUUUUGGUGGGCUUUUAGGACAAAUUAACCAAAAGAAUUGAAAUAGGAGGUGGAGAUAAAGCUUUGAAGAGAAAGGGAGGGGACAGAGAAAAAAGAAAAAGAAAACUAGA